rnacentral:rRNA from 1 species
CCUANGGGUGGCUGCAGUCGAGAAUCUUCCGCAAUGGACGAAAGUCUGACGGAGCGACGCCGCGUGAUUGAUGAAGCUUUUCGGAGUGUAAAGAUCUUUUAUGAGGGAAGAAGUUUAUUGACGGUACCUCAUGAAUAAGGGGCUCCUAAUCUCGUGCCAGCAGGAGCGGUAAUACGAGAGCCCCGAGCGUUAUCCGGAAUUAUUGGGCGUAAAGGGUGCGUAGGUGGUUGUGUUAGUCGUUUGUUAAAUCUUUAGGCUUAACCUAAAAAUCGCGAACGAAACGGCACAACUUGAGAGUGUGAGGGGUAUAGGGAACUCAUGGUGUAGGGGUGAAAUCCGUUGAUAUCAUGGGGAACACCAAAAGCGAAGGCACUAUACUGGCACAUAUCUGACACUCAAGCACGAAAGCGUGGGUAGCGAAUGGGAUUAGAUACCCGANUANUC